AGAAUCCAUCCACGUCUCCAAACGAAGAUAUGACAGAGCCUAACUGACUCCGGAGGCUAUUCACCACUUGAUUAACGGUUGAGAGGCAGGACCUACGAGCCAGGCUCAUCGCCCUUAACUAGGAAUGGAGGCUGCCGGUAGGCGGCUCAGCGUCCAGAGGGUACCAGGGAAGGGAUGAGACGUAGACAGCAUUCGCACCACUGAGCUGAGCUCCACCUGGCUCUCUACUCAGAAUAAUCAACCCCUCUGCUGAGUUCCCUCAGCUGAGUAAACAUGAAGGUCUCAGCGCCCCUUCCUGCUCCCCAGGGGCGUCGAACCUGCCUGGUGACGGACAAGAGGUGUGGUGGCCGCGUCAGGCAAGCCUCCUUCACUACCACCUGACACUCCCCCUCCGGUUAAUUACUCUACUGAUUGGGUCGCCGCCACACUGUUUAUUGGCCCAUUACCCUGGCGGCGGCGCCCUCCCCUAGUGGUGCACAGUGUUACACUCACCUGCUGUACCUCAUCUCCCCCUCCAUGGAUGGUUCCGGGAAGCGCUACAUCCUGAAAUAUAAACAAUUCUUGAAUAUUAUAUUAUUAGUUUAUAACCGGAUGUUGUUCUCUAAUAUUAGCUCCUUGAGUAUAUGCUGGUCCUUUGUGUG